CAGCCCGUACUUCCUGAUCAGUCCAUGAGGGUUCGCACAGACCCGGCUGCAAAAGCGAACAAGUACAUCAGCACACUUACCAAAACAACACCACAAAAUACUUGUGUCAUACUCCAUAACAACAUGAAUACAGACAAGUUCAUAAUUCCACUGGAUGUACUAAUCCACAAUAGUCCAAUCGAUACACAAGCUCGAACACCAUCGAUCCUAGCGACGACAGCAGCUGCAAAAACCCUAUCGACGGAGGAACCUAAAUCCCAACCGAGCGAAAAGAAUACUAACCCUACAACUUGGAUUCGUUCAAAGCUAUCAUGCGGGAGAGAAACCCAAUCAAACCCCUAACGCUACGCACCAUGGCAAAAGGGAACGCACGUACCAGACGCGGGAUCCGGGCCC
rnacentral:misc_RNA from 1 species